rnacentral:rRNA from 1 species
UACGUAGGGUCCGAGCGUUGUCCGGAAUUAUUGGGCGUAAAGGGCUCGUAGGCGGUUCGUCACGUCGGGAGUGAAAACUCGGGGCUUAACCCCGAGCCCUGCUUCCGAUACGGGCAGACUAGAGGUAGGCAGGGGAGAGCGGAACUCCUGGUGUAGCGGUGGAAUGCGCAGAUAUCAGGAAGAACACCGGUGGCGAAGGCGGCUCUCUGGGCCUUACCUGACGCUGAAGCGCGAAAGCUAGGGAGCGAACGGG